GACGAACGCUGGCGGCGUGCUUAACACAUGCAAGUCGAACGGAAAGGCCCUGCUUUUGUGGGGUGCUCGAGUGGCGAACGGGUGAGUAACACGUGAGUAACCUGCCCUUGACUUUGGGAUAACUUCAGGAAACUGGGGCUAAUACCGGAUAGGAGCUCCUGCUGCAUGGUGGGGGUUGGAAAGUUUCGGCGGUUGGGGAUGGACUCGCGGCUUAUCAGCUUGUUGGUGGGGUAGUGGCUUACCAAGGCUUUGACGGGUAGCCGGCCUGAGAGGGUGACCGGCCACAUUAGUACUGAGGGACGGACCAGACUCGUACGGGAGGCAGCAGUGGAGAAUAUUGCACAGUGGGCGGGAGCCUGAUGCAGCAGCGCCGCGUGCGGAAUGACGGCCUUCGGGUUGUAAACCGCUUUCGCCUGUGACGAAGCGUGAGUGACGGUAAUGGGUAAAGAAGCACCGGCUAACUACGUG
rnacentral:rRNA from 1 species